rnacentral:rRNA from 1 species
CCUACGGGAGGCAGCAGUGGGGAAUAUUGCACAAUGGGCGAAAGCCUGAUGCAGCAACGCCGCGUGAGCGAUGAAGGCCUUCUGGUCGUAAAGCUCUGUCCUCAAGGAAGAUAAUGACGGUACUUGAGGAGUAAGCCCCGGCUAACUACGUGCCAGCAGCCGCUGUAAUACGUAGGGGGCUAGCGUUAACCGGAAUUACUGGGGGUAAGGGGUGCGUAGGUGGUUUCUUAGGUCAGAGGUGAAAGGCUACGGCUCAACCGUAGUAAGCCUUUGAAACUGGGGAACUUGAGUGCAGGAGAGGAGAGUGGAAUUCCUGGUGUAGCGGUGAAAUGCGUAGAUAUUAGGAGGAACACCAGUUGCGAAGGCGGCUUACCAAACUAUAUCUGACGUUGAGGCACGAAAGCGUGGGUAGCAAACAGGAUUAGAUACCCCUGUAGC